rnacentral:rRNA from 1 species
UACAUAGGGGGCGAGCGUUGUCCGGAAUGACUGGGCGUAAAGGGUGUGUAGGCGGUUAGGUAAGUUAGAAGUGUAAUACCCAGGGCUUAACUCGGGUGCUGCUUCUAAUACUGCUUGACUUGAGUGUCGGAGAGGAUAGUGGAAUUCCCAGUGUAGCGGUGGAAUGCAUAGAUAUUGGGAGGAACACCAGAGGCGAAAGCGGCUAUCUGGACGACAACUGACGCUGAGGCACGAAAGCGUGGGGAGCAAA